rnacentral:tRNA from 1 species
GCCCCUUUAGUGCAGCGGUCUAGCACGUUCCACGUCUGAUGUCUCGCAAAAACGAGCACGGUAAGGCGAAGGAGGGUUCCGAAAGGUCGACUUCACUUCGUCGUCGGAAUUGGAAAGGCGCGAGUUCGAUUCUCGCAGGGGGCA